GAUGAACGCUGGCGGCGUGCCUAAUACAUGCAAGUCGAGCGAACAGACGAGGCGCUUGCUCCUCUGACGUUAGCGGCGGACGGGUGAGUAACACGUGGAUAACCUACCUAUAAGACUGGGAUCACUUCGGGAAACCGGAGCUAAUACCGGAUAAUAUAUUGAACCGCAUGGUUCAAUAGUGAAAGACGGUUUUGCUGUCACUUAUAGAUGGAUCCGCGCCGCAUUAGCUAGUUGGUAAGGUAACGGCUUACCAAGGCUACGCUGCGUAGCCGACCUGAGAGGGUGAGCGGCCACACUGGAACUGAGACACGGUCCAGACUCCUACGGGAGGCAGCAGUAGGGAAUCUUCCGCAAUGGGCGAAAGCCUGACGGAGCAACGCCGCGUGAGUGAUGAAGGUCUUCGGAUCGUAAAACUCUGUUAUUAGGGAAGAACAAAUGUGUAAGUAACUAUGCACGUCUUGACGGUACCUAAUCAGAAAGCCACGGCUAACUACGUG
rnacentral:rRNA from 1 species